UGCAUCACACCCUGCCGUGCCGGCAAAUUGGAUAAUUACACGAUCAUCUUUGCCUAGCAUCCUUCUUCAGAAAUACCCAGCAUCCCCUUCACUCCAGAGACCCAGACCUAGAAGUUGGGUGAACGAUCAUUUCUCCCCAGCAUGCUGGCUUGGAUCAGGAUUUUGUUCACUAAAAACCAUAUUGUUUUGUCAAUACGA
rnacentral:lncRNA from 1 species